AUUACAAUUUUCCAUGAUCAUACCUCACCUCACCACCACCACAAAAAAAAAGGCUGUUCUGUGACUGCAGAAAUGGCUUGGAACCACACAGAGACCUUGUUCAGCGCUAUGGCUGUUCUGCUCGCCUGAAGCUUAUCACACGCACGCAGGCCGGUUCCUUCAAACAAAGGCUAAAAAAACUGUUGUAUGCAACCUCGCUCGUCGACAUCACCAGUAGCCGUAUCCUCGUCGUCUGUAUCAGGUUCGAUCAGGUUGCCAGUAGCCUCGCGUGCUCGCUGCAGUUUGUAUCAGUUCGAUCACGUUGCUCGUGCCUACAAAUUUACAGCAGCCAUGGACGGGACGAGCCAGUCGAGGCGGAUUGGAGUUUGAAUCACGGCCACACAAUACACUCAUCAGUUACAUUAUUACUAGUGCAAGCACCUCCACUAGUAGAUUGGGAUUCGAUAUAAAUUCAAGAAGAAAAUGAAAUGGAAGGAAUAACAGAACUUUGUAGUGAAGAACAAGUUUAUGCACUUUUGGGUCUCUAUCCUGACCUUGAGCAGUUUAGAUGAAUAGUGUUAUCUGGUAAGCGUGCUUAUUUGGAUGAUAGAUAAUCCUUUGCGAGUUGCCUGAACAUUUAUACAUCACAUUCAUCCUACACGUAAUUAGUCCGUAUUAAA